UCCUGGUUUCCCAGGCAGUCCCAUCAGAGUGCCUUACUCACGUAAGUAGCAACUGACGGCAAGGGUUGCGCUCGUUAGAGGACUUAACCCAACAUCUCACGACACGAGCUGACGACAGCCAUGCAGCACCUGUGCAAUUGUCUGAACCGAAGCCUAGAAGUCCGCGUUUCCACGUAUGUCAAAAGCAUGUCAAGCCUAGGUAAGGUUCCUCGCGUAGUGUCGAAUUAAACCACAUGUUCCACCGCUUGUGCGGGCCCCCGUCAAUUUCUUUGAGUUUUAGUCUUGCGACCGUAAUCCCCAGGUGGAUCACUUAACGCGUUAGCUACGACACUAAUUCUGUCAAACAGAACUAACGUCUAGUGAUCAUCGUUUACAGCGUGGACUAC
rnacentral:misc_RNA from 1 species